rnacentral:tRNA from 1 species
GCCUCCUUAGCUCAGUUGGUAGAGCGCACGGCUGUUAACCGUUAGGUCGUAGGUUCGAGCCCUACAGGGGGCG